GUGCUGUAACUCGCUGUUAAACCCUAGCCCGGGCCAGGGCUGUUGUAGCCCCGCCCCUCGCCUGCAGGUUGGGGAAGUUCGUAGGGGAGGCAGCUGCGCUCGCCGGCCCGGGGCAUGGGGGUCACGGUGGACGUGCACCAGGUUUACAGAUACCCCUUCGAGCUGGUGGUGGCCAGCUACCUCCGCAAGUAUCCCAGUCCCAUGGAGAAACAUGUCACAGCUAUAAAAACCAUGGAAGAGAAAACGGAUUUGUCCACAGGGAUUAUUUACAGAAGGAGAAUUGCAACUUGUCAGAAUGUAAUUCCAGAAAUCUUAAGAAAGGUCAGUGUCUUAAAAGUGUCUGACAUCUACUUAGAGGAAGAAUCUUGGCUUAAUAUGCAGGAAAGAAAUAUGGUUAUGAAGUCUCAUUGCCUUACCUGGACACAAUAUGCAUCUCUAAGUGAAGAAUCUGUCUUCAGGGAAAGCUUGGAAAAUCCAAAUUGGACCGAGUUCAUCCAGAAAGGCAGGAUAUCCAUUACCGGAGCAGGGUUGCUCAACUGUGUAUUGGAAGCUUUUGCUCAAACCUUUCUAAAUCAAGGAGUCAAGAAGAUUCUCUCCCCACCCCUCAACAAUUCUGCUUGAAAGACUGCAAUGCUAUGAGGAAGAGAAAAGAAAAAGCACCUGUCACACUCGACUUGAACUGAGCAAGAAUUUUCUCAACUUGUCGAACAGAAGAAUACACAGGGUGAAAUCCUGGCCUCAUUAAAGACAAUGGCAAAACUCCUAUUAAUUUCAGUGGGGCCAAGAUUUCACCAACAAGAUGUGAACAUGUAGUAGCAAACAUUAUAUAUAGUCUUGCAGGGCGUACUCCAUUACGGCUCUUCAUCCUUAGCACUGUAACAGCCCGAGUUGGUUAGCAUAUAGGUGCGCUGUACGGCCUGCUUUUUGUCCUUUGCCUGAUACUGGACUAUGGCCAGUUAGUAGUGACAUGAGGUGAGUAUGGGGAGGCUAACUUAUUGUUCUUUCACUGACUUGUUUGACUUGAGCUGGGUUUCUUUGCUUAUUUAGCAUCUUUCCAAAAGUUUCAGGGGCUCCCAGAGCAUUGGAUUAUUAUAGUUUAGUAAACAUUUGAAUGAAUCAAUAAAUAGAACAGACAAAUGUAUGUUGCCUAAGACAUUGCCUGUCCUGAGGAUUAACCCCCACUUCAGCAGUCAGUGACAAGUAACCUGUGUCUUGCUCUGGUGUAGUCCUUUAGUGUAGACACGGCAAGUGUCAUUUGUACUAGUAGCGUUUACCCCAGUUUCUAGCAGUGUUUAGCUGAUGCUCCUUUAUUAAAAAUAACGUCCAGCUCUUAUGCAUCAUGUUUCAUCCAUAGAGUUCAAAACCUUUUACAACAAAGGUAAGUGUUAUCCCCAUUUUACAGAUGGAGAAACUGAGGCAGAGGGAAGUGAAAUGCCUUGGCAAAGUUCACCCAGCUAUCCAGUGGAAGAGCUGGGAAUAGAACCCAGAUCUGCUGAGUCCCAAUCCAGUGCUUUAGCCACUAGGCCAAAGUGCCUUCAGUGAGAAUAGAAUGCUGUGGGCACAAUAUGAUGUAAACACUCCCCUUCCUCAUCUCCCCACUGCCCCAAAUGCACACACCAAGCUAUAUAAUGCACUGCUGCCCCAAUAUUGCUGCAGACAAAAUUACAAUGGAAUUAUUACCAUUUUAUAAUAAGGCAGUAAAUUGUUUUUUUUUCCAGAUUUGACCAUCGUCCCAUUGUUUGGAUGAUCUGAAGUUAAGUUAUCUGUGUGCAUGUUGUAAUGUCUGUUUUAUGUGAUAUAUAUGUAGGUUGUGAUUUGUCUGUAUUCUUUACAGGGUAUUAGAAUAAUGGAGACGCUUCUGCAGGAACAGUGUGGGUGCCCGUUUUCCUGAGAAGAACUGAAGAAAAGUGUCAUCAGAGCAAUAUAUCUUAAUUGCUGUCACAGUUUCCAGGGAAGUUAUCCAAAUUUUAUUGGUACCAUUUUAUUGAGGAAACAGAAUACUCAAUAUGCACAGCUUGGCAAAAAGAUGACAAUAGUCUGUACAUCUUUCGGAAAAGAUUAAGGAAAGAUAUGUUGUUUAAAGAGACUUGGAUCCUGGAGAAGCAGCUGUAAAUGUGGAAAUAAUGUCUUCAUGUGGAUUUCGAUGUAAUUUCCAGAGACUAAGCAUUCGCUGCGAGAACCAACAUCAGCAAAAACAUAAAUAGCCCUUUUUGCUGUGGAGAGAUCUUCUACCAUGUCAGCCAAUGCACAGUUGUCUUGAGUCUUGCCAAGAGAAGUAUCAAUGAAUGUCCCCUAUUCAUUUUAAUAGUUUAUUUUGAAGCUUAGCUGUUAGGGGCAGUGAUUCUAUUCACAGAAUGCAGAAUCUAAUAAGAAAUGUGCCAUGACAGUUCCAUGCUGUUGUGUGGACUCUGCAUUUCUCUGCAGGCAUUUGGUAUUUCUAAUGUCUGCAAACCCUGAAAACAAACAACAAAUUGAAGCUUCCUUUGGGAAAAAAAAAAUGUCUAGUCCUUCUGAAUGUGAACUCAUGCAAAACUUCCCUGCUGAGCCUGUAGAAACACGGAAACAAUAGUUCUGGGACAUGUUACUACACCCAUUUGGAAUCAUCACCCACAUGCCCGUGCCAGUGUGGUUGGAUUAAUUUAAAAGGCUGUCCCAUGACUAUAAAGUUACAAGUUUUAAAGUGAAAAUAUUUGUCAUCCAAAUGUUCGUUCGUUCGUUCGUUCGUUCGUUUCUUCUUUCUUUCUUUCUUUGUCCUGAUAGGAGCCAAUUGAGAAGUUUAAGGGGCUUAGAAGGUCUCUGAGUAAAAUUCUUAAGGGAAAAGAGAGCUUGCAUGGAUGAGGGAUUCAUUUUGAAAGAGCAAUUUUAUUUAAAACCUCUUUAAAAAAAAAUACAAUUUAGGUAUUGCUGAACAAUACCUCUGUCCACAGAGUCCCACUGAAGUCAAUGGGUGUCAGAUGGUACUAAGUGCUUUCAGUUGAGCAUGAGUGUGAUUGUUUUUACUACUGAGGCCUUGGAGAGGAGAAAUUUUGGCAAAUCCACAUUACUGUGUACCAUGCCAGAGGAUCUUUAAUAUCCAUGCAGAACAGGCUGAGCCUCUGCUUUUAAGACCUUAUUGGAACAGCUGAGGAUAGGGAGGGAAAGAAAGGAGCGGAGGGGGAAGGUAGACCUAGUACACUUUUUUUAAUGGCAAGAUCAACUAGCAAUAGAAUUAUUUGACGAGGGAGAUACAGAGCUGUUGUUGUUAGUGAUGCUUAACAGUCAGUUAAAUAAAGUUCUUGUAGCAAUAGUGUGGAGGCAAAUCUUGUUCAGUGUGAGGACAAGUGGAGUAGGUAAUUUGUCCUUUCCAACCCUAUCAGAUAUAGUUUUUGAUCAAAAAGGCUAAAGCAGCAUGGAGUAUAAUCACACUGACUGUCUACAACCAGUGUAUCAAGGCAUGUUUAACUCACUGCUUCCAGAAGUUAAGCAACUUUUCUGGUCAUCUGGAAAAUCGAAUAGAAUUUUGGGGGGCUUUUUUAGUCACAAAGUUUAAGGCACCCUAGGAUAUAAUCCAAUAUACUGGAGUCCAAUAACAACUUUUGUAACUUGUGCUUGAGCCAAAAAGGAAUUUUGCUAACAAGGGGUUUCUCUUAUAUUUAAAAGUUUGAUGAAUGAUUCCUAAUGGCAUAUUGCAUCCUCCUAUCUAGGUAAUAUAAAUCCAAACCAGCAGAGUACUCAAGAACAUGAGUAGUGGCGAGUAGCCCCAGUUUCUCCAAUAGGACUACUCAGGUGCCUAGAGUUAUAGACAUGCUUUCCUAGAUCUUAACCUUUAUGAAGUGAAGACAGAAACAGAAAUGAACAAAUAUGUUCUUCACAACUCUUAAUUUUUUUUUUAAAGCUACAUUGCUGAAAAGCUGGGCCUUAACUUGUAAUUCAUAUAUUUCAGCAUGACAGAAAUCUGAUUGCUCAUUACACUAAAGGCAUGACAUAGAGCAUACUGCUGAGGAAAGGGUAGACAUAAAAAAACAAGCAUUUGGAAGUGAGAAAGUGGGUUGAUAAACUGAAAUACAAUGGUGAUGUUUUCUAUAGUAAGUACACCUCUGUAAACUGAUUUUCAUUUUUGGAAUGGUGUAUUUUGAGUUUCUGCAUUGCUUAUAUUGUUCAGAGAAACUACUGAUCUUAACUAGGCCAUAUUUUGGUUUUGUCCCUAUGUAAUUUUGCAGUUUAUGAAUGAAUAAUUUUGAUACAGUAGGCAAACAAAAACUUAGAGGAUGACUCCGACUGGACGACAUAGGAGAAAGAGACCAUGUAGUAAAAGACACUUAUGUAUCCUGUAUGUAUGUAUACAUCAAUUACAGUGAUGCAUCUGAUGAGCUAAUCUGUGGGGAUGACAGCUCUGCUUUUUUCCCUCUUGGCACUGUUUAUCCUGAGAACAUAAUCGUGUAGAUAACAUCAGUUUGUUGAAUAAACUAACAAAUUAUUUUAGAAGUGCAGCAUUAAAUGUUUUCUGGAGAUUCAAAUAGGAAGAAUAUAUGGGAUCUGGUAGAAAAUCUUUCUUUAACCACCCAAAGGACUGGUUAGGAAAAAUAUAUCCAAAUAAUAAGUAAGCUUUUUAGUCUAAUGUCCCAGUAUGAAAGUUUUUCUAAAUGUAUUCAAUGACUGAUUAAUGAUUGAGAAUAGUUGCUCAGAUAUAUUAUGAUGGUAGUGGUAUAUAAAUACAUAGAUACUUUUGUAAAUGUAUAGGCCAAGAUUGUCAAAGUCCUAUUGUGUCCUUAGUAGGUCCCUAAAUAACUGGCUUGUUCCCCCCUUCUCCCCCCCGAUUUCAAUUCCCUCCCCCACUCCCUCCAAGGAGCCUAAUUUUAUGCACUGCAGGGUCUGACUAAAGGCCUACUUUAGUCAGGGGAAAGAAAUAUAUUUGCUUUGGAUUGGGCCCACAGUUUUGAUAAUCUUGGCCAUAAGAACUCCCUAAAGUCAUGUUCCCUCAUAUUUGCAAACUUUCGUCUCCUGGAUAGUGCUGCAUUUGCCAUCCGGUGAAACCUUUUCAAAAUUAAAUAUUUUUUUCCUUACUCAAGACCAAUGUACCUGGGGCAAAAUAAUUUUGCUUACUUUUUCUCUGGAACUUUGUCAUUCUAGAUUAAGUCUAUGCUUCCAGGCAAUUUAGAAAUUCUCUUUAAGCGUUGCUUAUUGCAGUUUUUCUUACUGGCUAUUUUUAAAAUCUUUUUGUUCGUUUGUAGAUUACUCUAAAGCUCUAGGGGGAAGAGUUUUAUAUACAGUUAAACAAAUUUUGUUAAGGAACAAAAUAAACAAACAACUCACAAAACUAACAGGAACAAUCCUAGGUAAAAUGAUGACUCUCUCAGCAAUGAGAGAGUCUGUGGAGGUGAGGAAGGGCAAAUUGGUAUUUCAGAAUGAAGUAGAUCAUUUGUCUUAACUAUAUUGUGUUUAUGAGCUUUGUCGUGGUAGGAUGAAAAUUUGUUAAUCUAAUGUAAUAGCAGUCCUUUUUGCUAAUGCACUCAGAACAUUUCAGAUAGCUAAUUGCUAAUGCUGCCAUUAAACUAUCGUGUGUGUGUGUGUGUGUGUGUGUGUAUAACAUUUUUUAGCCAAACCAGCUGCUAGUGUAGCAUAUAAAAGAAAAUCAUGUAUGUGGAACAAUGAUUCAGGGACUUUAUUUCUGCCAGGUGAUCCAUUAUCAGCUUAGCCAUAUGGUGAGGAAAGGUGCUAUAUAUUUUUUUAUGUAUAUUUUGAGUGUAUGAAUGUAUAUUAACUGUUGGAUACACAAUAUUCUUUUAUAUGCAAACUACUACACUGUGAAUAUUGAGUGUAUUAUCAUGCUAUUGUAUAUAUGCUGUGUGAUUAUACAAAGGCUACUUGAACACAAAGGAAAAGUAAAAAUGUCAGCUAACUACAACAGCAAAUGAUAUCACUCCUCUGUACAACCUUGAAAUAGUGCACCUCAUUACAUUGCAAUUCUUUUAUAAAAUAAAAUUAUUAGAACUCCUG